UACAGAGGGGGCAAGCGUUGUUCGGAAUUACUGGGCGUAAAGGGCGCGUAGGCGGCCUGUUAAGUCGAACGUGAAAUCCCCGGGCUCAACCCGGGAACUGCGUCCGAUACUGGCAGGCUUGAAUUCGGGAGAGGGAUGUGGAAUUCCAGGUGUAGCGGUGAAAUGCGUAGAUAUCUGGAGGAACACCGGUGGCGAAGGCGGUCUGCUGGGCAGUUGCUGACACUGAGGCGCGACAGCGUGGGGAGCAAACAGG
rnacentral:rRNA from 1 species